rnacentral:rRNA from 1 species
AUGGGAACGCGAAGAACCUUACCUAGACUUGACAUCUCCUGAAUAGUGUAGAGAUACAUGAAGCCCUUCGGGGCAGGAAGACAGGUGGUGCAUGGUUGUCGUCAGCUCGUGUCGUGAGAUGUUGGGUUAAGUCCCGCAACGAGCGCAACCCUUAUUACUAGUUGCUACCAUUAAGUUGAGCACUCUAGUGAGACUGCCCGGGUUAACCGGGAGGAAGGCGGGGAUGACGUCAAAUCAUCAUGCCCCUUAUGUCUAGGGCUACACACGUGCUACAAUGGUGAGAACAACGAGAUGCAAUACCGCGAGGUGGAGCAAAACUUACAAAACUCAUCUCAGUUCGGAUUGUAGGCUGAAACUCGCCUACAUGAAGUUGGAGUUGCUAGUAAUCGCGAAUCAGAAUGUCGCGGUGAAUACGUUCCCGGGUCUUGUACACACCG